rnacentral:rRNA from 1 species
UACGUAGGUGGCGAGCGUUGUCCGGAUUUAUUGGGUUUAAAGGGUGCGUAGGCGGCCCUAUAAGUCAGCGGUGAAAUAUCGCAGCUUAACUGUGAGGGUGCCAUUGAUACUGUAGGGCUUGAGUGAAUUUGAGGUAGGCGGAAUUGACGGUGUAGCGGUGAAAUGCUUAGAUAUCGUCAAGAACACCGAUAGUGAAGACAGCUUACCAAGCUUCAACUGACGCUGAGGCACGAAAGUGUGGGGAUCAAACAGG